UGGGGAAUUUUGCACAAUGGGGGAAACCCUGAUGCAGCGACGCCGCGUGAUUUAGAAGGCCUUCGGGUUGUAAUAAUCUUUUCUAUGGGAAGAAAAUGACAGUACCAUAGGAAUAAGGACCGGCUAAUUACGUGCCAGCAGCCGCGGUAAUACGUAAGGUCCGAGCGUUGUCCGGAAUCAUUGGGCGUAAAGGGUACGUAGGCGGGUAAGCAAGUUAGAAGUGAAAUCCUAUAGCUCAACUAUAGUAAGCUUUUAAAACUGCUCAUCUUGAGGUAUGGAAGGGAAAGUGGAAUUCCUAGUGUAGCGGUGAAAUGCGCAGAUAUUAGGAGGAAUACCGGUGGCGAAGGCGACUUUCUGGCCAUAACCUGACGCUGAGGUACGAAAGCGUGGGUAGCAAACAGG
rnacentral:rRNA from 1 species